rnacentral:lncRNA from 1 species
AGGUUGCGGGAGCAACGUCGCUGGAAACCUGCUUCUGCCAGCACCCAGUCCUGUUCUUCCAGAGUUCCUGACCACGCCCGGCUUCUUGCUUCGGAUCCCGCUUCGCCCUGUGUGGACUGUCUCUAGACCCAUGACCCAGGACCGGGCUCUGACCACGCCUCACGAGGGAACGCUGUCAUUCAAAGACUGCUGGAAGGGAAGAAACUCAGACACAAAUAGAAAAAGGAGCAACAGCGCUGCUGGAACACAGCAUAAGAACGGGAAUUGGGAUGAAAAGUCUGAAGACAACAUCAACAUCACCAUGGCAACUGCACAGCCAUACCACGCGAAGCGUGAAUGCGCC